rnacentral:lncRNA from 1 species
UUGUUGCCAUUUGAAACGCGUUGAUUAUGGCUUUGCGCUGUUGGCUGCCAUCUUUAAGCGUGGUUUUGUCCCGGAUGUUGUGACCUACACAACUCUUGUUAGGGGACUCAUUUCCCAGGACAAGUUUCUCGAGGCUGAGCUUAUGUUCUCUUACCUUCUCCAGCACAAUCAGAUUCAGCCUGAUGCAGCUAUCUUUACAACCAUCAUUGACGGCCUCUGCAAAAUAGGCAACACUUCCCGAGCUAUGAGGUUGCUUAGAUACAUGGAGAAGAAAGGUUGUAUGCCGAGCCUAGUGACUUACACCACUAUUAUUGAUAGUUUGUCCAAAGACAGAUUAGUCGAUGAUGCUUUGGGUCUCCUCAUUUAUCAAAAUAUAUCAGCCGGUUUUCAUACAAAACAGGAGAUAAAGGUCAAUAACAACCUUAUCUCCAUCCUACAAGCUAGCAACUUGAUCUCCAUGAAAAUAGGGUACGGUUGAAGACUCCAAGCAGCUAUAUAUAUCAUUUGAACUUGAAGAUGAAUACAACUUAUCCACCACUCAAUUUUAUCACUUAUAUCUACGCUUAAAAUGACGAAGAUGAUGGUGAGACUGAGAAGCGCUUCCAGUGCUUGCUUCAGCUCAGACGCUAUUUUUCACAAGGGCUCUCUUGGAUUUCUGAGACACGGCACUACUGCUCUUACUACUACUAGUUCUUCUUGUCGUGUUAUUACAUUGCUUCGUUUGCAUUCACUUUGUCAAUCCUCCACUUGCCCUAACCCUAAUCACAUACCCAAUCAUCACACGGAACUUCAACAAUUACUUAACGAGAAAUGUAAGCUUGGUUUUGAUAAGCUCGACGAUGCUCUUGUUGUGUUUGACAAAAUGCUCCGUAUGAAGCCUCUUCCUACUGUCAUCCACUUUACUCAACUCUUGGCCGCCCUUGUCAAGAUGAAACAUUACUCUGCGGCUGUCUCCGUCUUUUCAGAUAUGUGCUCUUUUAGCAUUUCUGUUAAUAUAAUUACUUAUAGUAUUGUAAUCAACUGUUGUUGCCAUUUGAAACGCGUUGAUUAUGGCUUUGCGCUGUUGGCUGCCAUCUUUAAGCGUGGUUUUGUCCCGGAUGUUGUGACCUACACAACUCUUGUUAGGGGACUCAUUUCCCAGGACAAGUUUCUCGAGGCUGAGCUUAUGUUCUCUUACCUUCUCCAGCACAAUCAGAUUCAGCCUGAUGCAGCUAUCUUUACAACCAUCAUUGACGGCCUCUGCAAAAUAGGCAACACUUCCCGAGCUAUGAGGUUGCUUAGAUACAUGGAGAAGAAAGGUUGUAUGCCGAGCCUAGUGACUUACACCACUAUUAUUGAUAGUUUGUCCAAAGACAGAUUAGUCGAUGAUGCUUUGGGUCUCCUUGCUGAAAUGAGUGACAAAGGCAUUCAACCAGAUGUUGUAACCUACAGCUCUUUAAUUCAUGGCAUGUGCAACCUCAAUCGGUGGGAUGAUAUAACACAAUUGUUAAAAGAUAUGGACAGACACAAAAUUUCUCCAAAUAAGCAUACCUACAGUAUAUUGGUUGAUGCACAUGCCAGAGAUGGAAAGGUCAAAGAUGCUGAACAUUUUAUAGAGUUGAUGAUUCAAAGAGGCCAACAUCCUGAUGUAGUCACCUACAGUGCACUUAUGGAUGGAUACUGCUUGAGAGGAGAAUUGGAUAAAGCGUUUGCAGUGCUCAGUACCAUGAUAAGUAAGGGGAUUUUUCCUGACACUCAGACCUAUACCAUAUUGAUCAAUGGUUAUUGUAAGAAGAUGAAAGUAGACACAGCGAUACAUCUCUUAGAAGAAAUGACCCUGAAAGGUUUAACACCUACAGUUGAAACGUACAAUACUAUUCUGGAUGGGUUAUUUCGUGCGCGUAGGCUUAAUGAAGCACAUAAGUUUUAUAAGAAUAUGUUAAAUCAAGGUGUUAAACUGAAUAUAGUGACAUGCAGGAUCUUGUUGCAUGGACUUUGCUGCAAUGGACUUGCUGGUGAAGCAAUGUCCGUGUUUCAUGACAUGGAGUCAUGUGGCUUACUUCCUGAUAUACACAUUUAUAAUAUUCUGAUUCAUGGAUUGUUCAAGGACGGCAAGGUUGACGAGGCAAGAAACCUUCUUCAUAAUGUUCGUUUGAAGGGUUUACACCCUGAUUUCAUAUCUUACAACAUUAUGAUCCAAGGAUUCUGUCAAGAGGGGUUGCUGGAAGAAGCAUAUAAAAUACUUUUGGAAAUGGAAGAAAACAAUUGCUUGCCUAAUGAAGUUACAUACAACACUCUUAUCCGUGGAUGCUUUAAGAAUAAGAAGUAUGAUGGAGCUUGUGUACUUGUAGAUGAGAUGUUUGCUCAUGGUUUCAAAGCAGAUGGCUCUACCACCUCCAUGCUAUUUGAUUUGCUGCAAUCGAAGGAGCAGGACCCCGCACUCCUUGCUAUGAAGAAGAAGUUCAUGCCUUGACUACAUCAAGGAAAGAGUUUUGUAAGCUACAAAGUACUUCUAAAUCGUUCUAACUUUGUAAUUGUUUGCUACGAAAUUUGAAGUCAAUAGAAAUUUGAAGUAAAGCUUUUGCCCUUAUCUUCAGUGCUGUUAUAUAGAAACCUUUUUAACCCUCAUGCUUAACACUUCACCUAAACAUAAAGUCUAACAUAUCCGUGCUUGUAUUAUCCUGAGACUCUGUGAGACCAUGUAUUAAUGCUACAAUCCAACAUUAUGAAAAUUGUUGUUACUCUGAAUAUUGUUGAAAUGUGGUAUGAAAAAUUGUGAUUCUGCAACAUAUAUUUCUCAUUCCUUCACUACCUGAUCCUAGUCCCAGUAUUCAAUCCCCAUAUAUUCCUUCUUCAUCUAUACCUCAUUUGAAGCUUCAGCAGUUACUUCAUUAGGAAUAUGAGGUUUGUUUUGAUAUUAACUAUUCUUAUGUGAUUGACUUCAAUCAACUGUUAUCCGCCAUCUUUAAGACAUAACAAUACACUGUUGCUGUUUCUUUUUAGUGAUACUUGUACUUUCUCCAUUCCAGUUGAUCUAUAUACCAUUAAUACCGUCAUUAAUUAUUGUUGUCAAUUGAAUAGAGUUUAGUAUGCCUUUUCAUGAAGCGUCUUCUUUUGCCAAAUGUUGUUACCUGCACCAUUCUGUAUCGGGGGUUAUCUCCCAUGACAAACCUCCGGAGGUUGAGCACUGGUCUGAGAAGCUCAGCAUAAUCAGACUAAUUAAACCUGGUGUUGUGCAUUAUUGAAAUAUAUGAAGAUGAAAGGUUGUAUACCCAAUAUUAGUAACUUUAGGAAUUAGCAGUUUCAGUUUUAUCUUUAACUGAUAUAUAGGUUGUGUUAGGCUGGCCAUUAGCAGUUUCCGCUAUGAAAUUAGCUAUGAUCCUGAAUGCCCCUAUACUCCUGCUUCAUCUAUACCUCAUUCGCAACUUAACAGUUAAUUUAUAAGCUAUUGAACUUGAAUUAAGAGUGCUACUUGAAUCAGUUUCACUGUUUCUUAAUCGGUUCAGGGUGUUUUUCUUUUCCUUAAAAUUUUCAUAUCUAUUAUAUCUCAAACAUUUACAUAUGAAAAUCUGUCCAAAACAAAAAAACAUUUACAUGUGAAAAGCAUAUAUACAAUAAAAACCAGAAAAAAAUGAUAUUUUUAAAUUUGCAAGAGCAUCCCCAAUAAAGUAUGUGAUAUAUUGAUACUCAUCUUUUUUUUUUGUUUAACUUUCUUAUUAUUAUGUAUUAAUUUUUUCAAUUUUUUUCUCAGAUUUUUUCUUAUACAAACACGACUUAAAUAAAAAUAAUAAUAUAAUAAAAUGUGACAAUACAAAAAUAUGUGUAUUUAUACACAUAUUUAGACAUUUGAAUACAUAUUUACUCUUAUACAUUUGGAAAGAAAAGUUNGAGCACUGGUCUGAGAAGCUCAGCAUAAUCAGACUAAUUAAACCUGGUGUUGUGCAUUAUUGAAAUAUAUGAAGAUGAAAGGUUGUAUACCCAAUAUUAGUAACUUUAGGAAUUAGCAGUUUCAGUUUUAUCUUUAACUGAUAUAUAGGUUGUGUUAGGCUGGCCAUUAGCAGUUUCCGCUAUGAAAUUAGCUAUGAUCCUGAAUGCCCCUAUACUCCUGCUUCAUCUAUACCUCAUUCGCAACUUAACAGUUAAUUUAUAAGCUAUUGAACUUGAAUUAAGAGUGCUACUUGAAUCAGUUUCACUGUUUCUUAAUCGGUUCAGGGUGUUUUUCUUUUCCUUAAAAUUUUCAUAUCUAUUAUAUCUCAAACAUUUACAUAUGAAAAUCUGUCCAAAACAAAAAAACAUUUACAUGUGAAAAGCAUAUAUACAAUAAAAACCAGAAAAAAAUGAUAUUUUUAAAUUUGCAAGAGCAUCCCCAAUAAAGUAUGUGAUAUAUUGAUACUCAUCUUUUUUUUUUGUUUAACUUUCUUAUUAUUAUGUAUUAAUUUUUUCAAUUUUUUUCUCAGAUUUUUUCUUAUACAAACACGACUUAAAUAAAAAUAAUAAUAUAAUAAAAUGUGACAAUACAAAAAUAUGUGUAUUUAUACACAUAUUUAGACAUUUGAAUACAUAUUUACUCUUAUACAUUUGGAAAGAAAAGUUAUACUCCGACAAUCAUAAGAAAAUGAAAAAUUCUUUGAAAUACACAUAAUGAGGCCGUUUAGGUUAACUUAAAAGAAGUGAAUUAUUGCUUGAAGUAAAAAAGUUGAGUAGAAGUGAGAAGUAAAUAAAUAGUUAUAAGUUGUUGAAGUGUUUGCAAAAGAAAUAGAAGUUAUAAAGAGAAGUGGCAUUUUCUAUUUCCAACUUCUUUCUUACGAUUUUUUAAAAAUACUUUUUACUUUUUUACAUAAACUAGUCAAGUAAAGCAGAAGUAAGAAGUAGUUUCGGCUUCCCUCUCCCAAACUGGGGCAAUGACAACUAAGAAAUGAAGAAUUCUUCGAAAUAUACAUCGUGAUGAAUAAACAUCUUAGUCAAAUUACAGUAUCAUCUCCUGAUUAUUAAUAUUUUUAUCGUUAUCAUGAGUGUUGUCAUAUAGAAACCUCUAAAAACUAAAACCUUCAUGCUUAAGGCUUUUACUAAAUAAAUCCGGUAUUCCAAAAGAUAAAGUACAUUCAGACUUACUACAAGUUAUUUUGAGUUCUUCCAUAUAGAAACCUCCAAAAAACUAAAAACCUCAUAUUUAAGGCUUCCACCAAACAAAUCCGAUAUUCCACAAUAUGAAAUACACUGUUGCUGUUCAUUUUUACGGAAACUUGUAGUUUCUCCAUUCCAGUUGAUCUAUAUACCAUUAAUACCGUCAUUAAAUAUUGUUGUCAAUUGAAUAGAGUUUAUUAUGCUUUUUCGUGAAGCGUCUUCUUUUGCCAAAUGUUGUUACCUACACCAUUCUCUAUAGGGGGUUAUCUCCCAUGACAAACUUCUGGAGGUUGAGCACUGGUUUGAGAAGUUCAGCAUAAUCAGACUAAUUGUUAUUAAGUCUAACACAUCUGUGCUUGCAUUAUCCUGCGACUCCGCGAGAUGAAUCAAGAGAGCAGGAUUCAAGUGCUCCUUGAAUCAAUUCACUGUUUCUCGGAUCAGGGUUUUAUAUAUUAGUGGUACUUUUGUUUUCAUUGAUGCAUAUAUAAAAUGCAUCAGAUUUAACCUCUGUUUCUUUCGUCAUCUUUAAUUGAAUAUUAGUGACCUUGGUCAGAAUUAAAUAGUGUUCCAUUUUUCUAUCCCUCUGUUGUGAUAUGUGUGUUUUCUCCAUUAACGUUGAUUUGUUUAGUAUUGCAGUAAUGUCAUAAUGUGUUAAUGUGAUAUCCCUUGAAGGUUUAACACCUACUGUUGAAACUUACGGUAUUAUUUUGGAUUCAUUCUGAUUCAUGGAUUUCUCAAGGAGGGGAAAGUUGACGAGGCUAUAAACCUUUUUCAUAGUCUUCCUUUGAAGGGUUUACGCCCUACAGUGAUAUCCUACAACUUUAUGAUCAAAUAAUUGCUGGAAGAAGCAUAUAAAAUGCUUUUGGAAUUGAAAGAAAAUAAUUGCUUGCCUAAUGAAGUUACAAUACUACACUUUUAUCCGUGGCUGCUUUAAGAAUAAGAUGUAUGAUGGAGGUUAUGUGCUGAUAGAUGAGAUUUGUGCUCAUGGUUUUAAAGCAGAUGCCUCUACCACCUCCAUGCUAUUCGACUUGCUGCAUUCAAAAGAGCAGAUGCCUCUACCACCUCCAUGCCUUGAGUACAUCAAGGAGAGAGUGAAUUAUGGUACAAAAUACUUUUAAAAUGCCAGGACUUACUAAUAAUUUGUUACAAACUUUGACGUCAAUAGCAAUUGUGAUAUUGGAGUUGAUAAUAUGUAAUUUUGUUGAAUAUCAGCUUUGCAAAUGGUGUCUGGGUUGUAUUUGCAUUAUUUGACAAAAUGAAAAGAAUGAUAAAGCUUGUGUUUUUUCUUCGACCAAAUGCAGGAAGCUGGGUUCUCUGGAGAUGCAUACCACCAGUAUAUUACAUUACAAGACCUGUACGGAACAAAUUACCUGGACCCUUCUACUCUUGCUUUGCGGUGAAAAUUUUGUCAUGGGUACUGCAAUCUCAUGACGCAAACACUCUGCAGCAUUAUUAUUUACUUGCAUUACAUUGUAAGUUUGUCUUUUAUUUCUGGCAGGCUGCUAAGACUUAACUUAAUUACUGUAGGGCUAACAUGUAGUUGCAUAAUGGUGUCUUGAGUGCAGCAAAUGUGAAGUACACCAACAUUUCCAUUUAUUUCCAUUUAUUUAUUGAUGUAUUAGUUAUUUGUAUUAUAUAUUCUAUUCGUUGUCUCUUUGCCAUUUCUUCAUUUCUUCACUACCUGAUCCUAAUCCCAGUAUUCAAAUCCCCCUAUAUUCCUUCAUCAAUGCCUCAUUUGCAGCUUCAGCAGUUACUUCAUUCGGAAUAUGAGGUUUGUUUUGAUUAACUAUUCUUGUGUGAUUGACUUCAAUCAACUGUUAUCCGCCAUCGUUGAAACAUAACCAUACACUGUUGCUGUUUCUUUUUACUGAUACUUGUAGUUUCUCCAUUCCAGUUGAUCUAUAUACCAUUAAUACCGUCAUUAAUUAUUGUUGUCAAUUGAAUAGAGUUUAUUAUGCUUUUUCAUGAAGCGUCUUCUUUUGCCAAAUGUUGUUACCUACACCAUUCUCUAUAGGGGGUUAUCUCCCAUGACAAACUUCUGGAGGUUGAGCACUGGUUCGAGAAGCUCAGCAUAAUCAGACUAAUUGAACCUGGUAUUGUUCCAUUAUUGAUAGGUUGCAACAAACCUAUCAAUAUGGACCUCCACUCUUGCAAGUUCAAUAAAUUCUUCUCAACGUCUUAUUUUUGCAAGUACCAGAGUGCCCACCUCAGGAGCUUACAUGAUUUUCAUGGACCACCAUAUACUUGUGAUUUAGGCCUCAUUUGUUAACGAGUGAACGAGACAGAUAUAGCUGGACGAGAAAAAGGUUAGCUAUUCAGAUUGUUUGUUGCUGUCGUAAUUCAACUGAACGACUGGAAAAUUCGCUGGACGAAAGAGGCUACAUAACUUCGCUGGAUGGUUCAUAUAUCUUGCUUGUGUAAGUGUGUUGAUGAAUAUGUGUGCUAAUUUAACAUAUAAUUGCUUUAUAUAAUAACUUCUUAUAUUAUAAUAUAUUUAUGAUUAUAAAAUUAAUAAAAUAAAUAGUUAAUUUUAAUUAACAAUAUUUGAAUCUUAUAAAAUAGUGGCUUAUAUAUUAACACAUCGAUUAUUAUUUUAAAAGAAAUGCAUUUAUUAUUAUAUAGAGAUAAUUGAUAAGAAAUUUGUAUUGUAAAUUUUUUUCAUGUUAAUUUAAUGAAUUAUCCAUUAUAAAUCUUAUUUUCUAAUAAAAAUAAUUAUUAAAUAAAUUUAAUAUAUAAUUUUAAGUCAUUCAGAUUUAAUUUAACAAAUGAUUCAAAAAUACAAUCAUCCAGAUAUUUACUCAUUCAGAAUUUUCAUUCAUCCAGAAAAUAUGAUCCAGAUUUAACAAAUGACCCCUUAAUCGUCACAAGUGUAUCUUUGACCGAUACAUGGGUUGUGUUAGGCUGCUCAUUAGGAGGUUCAAAAAUCAUCCUUUUUUUUUCAAAUUUUAAAUAUGUUAUUUAUAAUAUAUAUGACGUUGUAUUUAUUAUAUACUAGAUUCACGUUUCAUAUGUAUUAGAUAAUAGAAUUUGUAAUAAAACUAAGAAUUUAUAGUGACUUACCACGAAACUCCAUAAAAAACUAUAAAUUAUAUAUAUAUUGAAUUAUUAUAUUUUACAAAUUCUAUGAAAUAUGAAUUAUGUUGAAUAUUAAACUAAGGGAGUUGAAGGUGUAUUCGUCGUGAUUUUAAUAGAUUAAUUUAUGAAUGUUAAUAGAUUGUAUGUGAUUUUGGGCGGAUUCUUAAUAAAAUGUCGUUUAACUGGUAUAGUUUUGUUAGGAUUUAAGCACAAUACUUUAAAAUAUUAUAUAUUUUGGUGGAAUUUCAAAAAGUUCAAAAUAUACCGACCAUAUAUCAUUUUAUGAAGUUCAAAAAAAUCUAUCAGUAUCCGAAUACCAUCACAUUUCAAUGGAUUUUAAAAAAUCCCAAUUGAAUACCGUUAGAUUUUAUAGCAUAAUUGAAAAUCCGAUUAAAUACCACCAUAUAUUGUAGAUAUAAAAUUCCAAUUGAAUACCACGAAUGAAAAAUCUUUAAAAAUCCCAAUUAAAUACACCUGUUAAAUAUAAUUUCGCUUAUUUAUAAACACUCUAAAAUCAUCAAUAUACUUAUAUAAAGGAGAAGCGAGGGGCGUGUAGGUGGCGCCUCUCACAUCGCUCCGUUCUAUUUUUCUAAAUUUCUGGAAUUUUUGGAUGAAAAAUAUCAAAAAUUAGAACUACCUUUUUUAGUUUCGGGUAUAUUAUAAGCAAGUUUCAGAAUCUGAUUUUGUUUCAGAUUAUUUAUGGAAUAUAGUAGUUUGAAAGUUUUAAUCUGAUUUUGUUUUAGAUUAUUUAAUUAUGGGAAAAAGUAGCACAUAAGUCUUUCUGCACCUAUAAAUACCCCGGUAGAUCGUAGGUUUUUGAAUCAUCUAAAUACAACCUCCUCUCUCUCAAUACCACAACCCUACCUCUCUAAUGAUAGUUCGCUUGCUUGAUUUCUAACUCGGUGGUGCUAUUCUUCUGCAACAAUAAGUGAAGGCUCUUUAUAUAGUAUUAAAAAAAUAAAGGUUGUUGCAAGCAAAGGUAGUUUUAGACCGCUAUGCGGGAGUCGACAAAUUCAAACAUGGGAAAAGAAUAUAGUCUUGACAUGAUAUUGAUGGAUGAUAUCAAUAAAUUAACUAUUAGUGAUGUAUGUUUAUUGGUUAUUCUUUUAUAAUAUUUGUUUUGUUCAUCGGACAUGUUUGUUGUUGUUAAUUUUUAUAUGAUUUAUUUUUUAUACAUGAAAAUAUGGUGGAGAAGCGAGGGGCGUGUAGGUGGCGCCUCUCACAUCGCUCCGUUCUAUUUUUAUAAUUUUUUGGAAUUUUUGGAUGAAAAAUAUCAAAAAUUAGAACUACCUUUUUUGGUUUCGGGUAUAUUGCAAGAAAAUUUCAGAAUCUGAUUUUGUUUCAGAUUAUUUAUGGAAUAUAGUAGCUUAAAAGUUUUAAUCUGAUUUUGUUUCAGAUUAUUUAAUUAUGAGAAAGAGUAGCACACAAGUAUCUCUGCACCUAUAAAUACCCAUAUAGAUUGUAGGGUUUUGGAUCAUCUAAACACAACCUACUCUCACUCAAUACUACAACCUCACAGAUUUAAGUUGAAUGUUUUUGUGCACAAUCAAUCCAAAAAAUAGUAGCUUAAAAGUUUUAAUCUGAUUUUGUUUCAGAUUAUUUAAUUAUGAGAAAGAGUAGCACACAAGUAUCUCUGCAUCUAUAAAUACCCAUAUAGAUUGUAGGGUUUUGGAUCAUCUAAACACAACCUACUCUCACUCAAUAUUACAACCUCACAGAUUUAAGUUAGAUGUUUUUGUGCACAAUCAAUCCAAAAAAAUUGGAGAAAGGUGACAAUUUAAAAACAUAAUUUCUUUUCAAAAAAAAAAACACAAAUAAAAUUAAGAUUCGUCGUGCUUUAAAUUGUUAAUUACGUGUAUAAAUUUAUUUUCAUUUUUUCACCAUGAAUUAUAGUCCAAUUUUGCAAUUUUAUAUAUUAGUAUUGGUAUUACAUCAAGAUUUUUAUAAUAUAAAAUAUAUUUAUCCUACAAAUAUUAAUUUUGAAACAUUAAUAUACUUUUUAUAGACAUCCACAAAAUUAUUUUAUUCUACAAAUAUUAAUAUUGAAUCAUUAAUAUAAUUUUUAUAAGCCGCCGCAACGCGCGGCUUCUCAACUAGUAAUAACUAAGAGCAAGUGCGAUAGGUUAACUAUUUCCUUGUAUAAUACUAUGAAAUAGUGAAUCUUAGAUUUAGAAGAUCAACUUUUAGUGUCAACUCCUAUAGAAAUUCUUAUUUUUGUUCCCUAUUAUUAUUUUAACAAUAAAUUUUAGGAAAAGAAGGAAGAAAUGAGAGAAAAGAUAAAAAAAAAAAGAAAUAAAUUGUUUAUUCAUAAAUAUUAAAUAUAUAAUGAUUAGAGAUUACCUAAAAUAGGUAAUAAUUAGAAAAUUUGGAAAUGCGCUAAUAAUUUAGAUAAUCAGCAUAUAAUGGUGGACACUGAUACAUUACCCAAAUAUAAAUAUAGAACCUCAUUUAGAUAUAUCAUUGUUCAUAUUAUUUUUAAUUAACUAAGCAAACAUCCCAUUUUUAAUGUUCCAUAUGUUUUUUAUAUGUCAUUUUUGACUUGAGCACGCACUUUUAGGUUAGUAGACUAGAUGUUAAUUAUUAUUAUUUUUAAUUAAUUUUUUUGUGAAAUAAAAUUUGAAUUACAUAAUUUUUCAUAGAAAAAACAUUCAAAAAUAAUAUUUUUAACUGUUCGGUCAAAACAAUUAAAAAAUACUAUGUAUCACAAGUUAAAACGUCUUAUAUCAAAAAUAGAGGGAGUAUAAUUGGAGGGGGAGAGCAUUAUUAAAGUCGAAUACAGAAAAAGGGAAAGUAAGUGAGAGAGUGAGGAGGAUGAUGAUGUCGAGAAUGAGAAGCGCUUUCACUGCUUGCUUCACUUCAGACGCUGUUUGUGACAAGGGCUUUCUUGGAUUUCUCAGACAUGGUACUCCUGCUCUUACUACUGCUAGUUCUUCUUGUCGUGUUAUUACACUUUCUCAAUCCUCCACUUGCCCUAACCCUAAUCACAUACCCAAUCAUCUUUCGGAAUUUGACCAAUUACUGUUGGAGAAAUCUAGAGUUGGUUUUGAUAAGCUCGAUGAUGCUCUUCGAGUGUUUGAUAAAAUGCUCCGUAUGAAGCCUCUUCCUAUUGUCAUGAAAUUUAAUCAACUCUUGGCCGCCCUUGUCAAGAUGAAACAUUACUCCGCGGCUGUCUCCGUCUUUUCAAAGAUGUGCACUUUUAACAUUGCUGUUGAUAUAGUUACUUAUAGUAUUGUAAUCAACUGUUGUUGCCAUUUGAAACGCGUUGAUUAUGGCUUUGCGCUGUUGGCUGCCAUCUUUAAGCGUGGUUUUGUCCCUACUAUCGUUACCUACACAACUCUUGUUAGGGGACUCAUAUCCCAGGAUAGGUUUCUUGAGGCUGAGCUUAUGUUCAAGAACCUUCUCAAGUACAAUGAGAUUCAGCCCAAUGCAGUUAUUUUUAACACCAUCAUUGACGGCCUCUGCAAAACUGGCAACACUUCCCAGGCUAUGAUGUUGCUUAGAUACAUGGAGAAGAAAGGUUGUAUGCCGAACGUUGUAAAUUAUAACACUAUUAUUGAUGGUUUGUCCAAAGACAGAUUAGUCGAUGAUGCUCUGGGUCUUCUUGCCGAAAUGAGAGACAAAGGCAUUCAACCAGAUGUUGUAACCUACAGCUCACUAAUUCUAGGUCUGUGCAACUUUAACCGAUGGGAUGAUAUAACACAAUUGUUAAAAGAUAUGGACAAACACAAAAUUUCUCCAGAUAAGCAUACUUAUAAUAUAUUGAUUGAUGCACAUGCCAGAGAUGGAAAGGUCAAAGAUGCUGAAUAUCUAAUAGAGUUAAUGAUUCGAAGAGGCCAACCUGCGGAUGUAGUCACAUAUAAUACGCUAAUGGAUGGAUACUGCUUGAGAGGAGAGUUGGAUAAAGCGUUAGCAGUGCUCAGAAUCAUGAGAAAUGAGGGGAUUUUCCCCGAUGCUCAUACCUAUACCAUAUUGAUCAAUGGUUAUUGUAAAAAGAUGAAAGUAGACACAGCCAUACAUCUCUUAGAAGAAAUGACCCUGAAAGGUUUAACACCUGCAAUCGAAACGUACAAUACUAUUCUAGAUGGGUUAUUUCGUGCGCGUAGGCUUGAUGAAGCACAUAAGUUUUAUAAGAAGAUGUUAAACCAAGGUGUUAAACGGAAUGUAGUGACAUGCAGGAUCUUGUUGCAUGGACUUUGCUGGAAUGGACUUGUUGUUGAAGCAAUGUCCGUGUUUCACAAGAUGGAGUCAUGUGGUUUAGUUCCUGACAUACAAAUUUAUUCUAUUCUGAUUCAUGGAUUGUUCAAGAAUGGCAAGGUUGACGAGGCAAGAAACCUUUUUCAAACUAUUCUUUUCAAGGGUUUACGGCCUAGUGUCAUAUCUUACAACAUUAUGAUCCAAGGAUUCUGUCAAGAGGGGUUGCUGGAAGAAGCAUAUAAUAUACUCUUGGAAAUGGAAGAAAACAAUUGCUUGCCUGAGGAAGUUACAUACAAUACUCUUAUCCGCGGCUGCUUUAAGAAUAAGAUGUAUGAUGGAGCUUGUGUGCUUAUAGAUGAAAUGUGUGCUCAUGGUUUCAAAGCAGAUGCCUCUACCACCUCCAUGCUAUUUGAUUUGCUGCAAUCGAAGGAGCAGGACCCUGCGCUCCAUGCUUUGCAAAAGAAGUUCAUGCCUUGAGUACAUCAAUGAGAGAGUUUAUUAAGGUACAAAAUACUUUUAAAUUGCCGGAACUUUGUAAUAGUUUGCUACAAUAUUUUAAAUCAAUAGCAAUUGUGAUAUUGGAGUUGAUAAAAUAUUUGAGUUUGUUAAAUAUUUACUUUUGAAGUGGUGGCCGUGUUGUCUUUGCAUCAUUUUGCAAAACGAGAAGUAUGAUAAAGCAUGCAUUUUUUCUUCGGCAAAAUACUAGAAGCUGGGUUCUUAGGGGAUGCAUACCACCUGUGUAUUACGAGACCUACUUGGAACAAAUUAGCUGGAUCCUUCUACUCUUUCUUUUCGUAAAAAGUUUGCCAUGACACUCUGCAGCAUUAUAUUUUACUUGCAUUACAUUGUAAGUUUGUCUUCUAUUUUUGCAGUCGACUACCAGUUAUUUCAAGUACUGUAUGGGUUACAUGUAGUUGCAUAAAGGUGUCUUCAGUGCAGCAAAUGUGAAGUACACCAACAUUUCCAUUUAUUUUGUUGAUAUAUUAGUUCUUAGUAUUAUAUAUUUUAUUCCUUGUCUCUUUGUAAUUUUAAUAUCUCUUCUAAAAUACAGGGAAAUGAUCCAAAAUACUAUCCUCUGUUUUUAAAUUUGUUUUCAUUUUCAAAUAAUUAAUUUUUUUUCAUUUUACUAUGUUCACAAAAUUUUAUAUAAAUUGCCUAAAUUUAAGUUUGUUUAUACGGAAAUACUCUAAGCAACUAAGUAUGAGCCUAUCUGUAACUAUUAUAUAAAACCAUUGCGGAGACGAUGAGAAAGGCUGUCACUACAUCCUCAGUGUCUUACUAUUAUUUACUUUCUCAUUUCUCACAACCUGAUCCUAGUCCCAGUAUUCAAAUCCCCAUAUAUUCCUUCUUCAUCUAUACCUCAUUUGUAGCUUCAGCAGUUACUUCAUAAGGAAUAUGAGGUUUGUUUUGAUAUUAACUAUUCUUUAUGAUUGACUUCAAUCAACUGUUAUCCGCCAUCGCUAAAACAUAACAAUACACUGUUGCUGUUUCUUUUUAGUGAUAUUUGUACAUUCUCCAUUCCAGUUGAUCUAUAUACCAUUAAUACCGUCAUUUAUUAUUGUUGUCAACUGAAUAGAGUUUAUAAUGCUUUUUCAUGAAGUGUCUUCUUUUGCCAAAUGUUAUCUACACCAUACUCUUAGAGCAACUCCAAUGGGGGUACCAUUAAUACACUGUUGCUGUUUCAUGAAGCGUCUUCUUUUGCCAAAUGUUGUUACCUACACCAUACUCUUAAGGGGUUAUCUCUCAUGACAAACCUCUGUAGGUUGAGCACUGGUUCGAGAAGCUCAGCAUAAUCAGACUAAUUGAACCUGGUGUUGUUCCAUUAUUGAUAGGUUGCAACAAACCUAUCAAUAUGGACCUUCCACUCUUGCAAGUUUAAUAAAUAUGUUCUCAACAUCAUAUUUUUGUUUUGGGCUGCUAACAAGCGCUUUUAAGUUCGCAAAGUACCAGAGUGCCCACCCUAGGAGCUUCCAUGAUUUUCAUGGACCAGCAUAUACUUGUGAUUUAAUUGUCACAAUUCUAUUAGUUCUGACCAUUAGAUCCAGGCGUGGCAAAACAGUUAACAGAAGCACCUUCAUAUCCAAAGCUAUUCACGACCCAUGCCAAAAGCCAUUCAUUCAGCAUCUUCCGCAUCUUUCAUUCCAUGAUUUCAAUCAUUAGCUGUUGUUCAUUUUAAUUCCUUUUGCUAAUCCCCAGGGGACCAUUCCAUUUAUCCGUUCUUCUCUCGGAGACCUCUUUUUUAGUUUUGUCUUUGUCAUUGAUUAGCGAUACGUCUACCUGAUCUCCCCAAAUGAACAUGUCAGUAGGAUGGUACAUGCCAAUGUUCGAGUAAAUGCUAUAUACAUACAUAGUUAUAUUCACGUCUCCUGAUUAGCAAAAACGUCCACUUCUUGGGUGAUUCAACUUGUAAAGGUUAGUUUUCUCCAAAAACUUUUUUUUUUUUUUUAUGUUUUUGUUGUGUUCUUUGGUUUGUGUUGCUGAUAAAGAUGAUAGGAUUGAUUGAUGAUCUUUUUGUGCUAAAGUCAAGAUUAUGGGAUGUUUUGUGUUCGUUUGAAGUUUUGGUAUCGAACUAUAUGAUCUCACAAUUGUUGUGAGUUUGACCACUUUAUCUUUAUUUAUAAAUUUAUUUUUAUUGUAUUUACAAGACCACUUUACUUUCAAAUGCAUAAAUAUUAAAGCUUGAUGGUGUUUUUUUUGGGUUUUAUGUGUGUGAACUCUGAUUGUAUUGGUUUCUUUAUUGCUUGAUGUUUUUGUAGAGUUUGGUGCGUGCAGGAGUUGUGAAGAAACUUUGAGGAGUUUUGGGCCAUUCUUGAUUUAGGUCAUUACUAAAUGUGGACCAUAAGGAGUGUUGUCUACAUGAUGGGCUUCUGUGGUCAAGGACUCAAGGUUCUGGGCAACACUUUAAUGGGGACUUUUCAAUGGCUGUAGUUCAAGCUAAUAAUUUACUGGAGGCUCAGAGUCAGCUUGAAUCAGGCUGUCUGAGCUUUAACGAGUCAGGCCUGUAUUGUACUAUUGUAGGAGUUUAUGAUGGACAUUGUGGCCCUGAGACAUUGCCUUUAUCAGUGUUCAACUCUUUCAGCUUCUAAAGAGUAACUAUCUUUUCUUCCAAUAGAGUUUUAAGUCAUUGUAUUGGAUUUGUUAGUUUCUUACAAGAACUAAGAUAUACUAAAUGGACGCAAACUGUAGAUUUUGUUGAAUACUGAUGCUUAUUAUUCGUUUGAACCUUCAUGAUGACCAAAUAAAUGUUGUGGCUUACUUGUUUCGUGCAUGUUUUUGUUUUAGGCGAAACCCUAUUACAUUUGACACGUACCUUAAAAAAAACAUAGGGUGGUUCCAUUCAUGUAUGGGAAACCAAAUAAAAUGAACUUGUAAACAAUUGAGGAAUCAUUGAUGUGUAUGCUUUUAGUCUCUCUUACUUUUCCAUGGGUUUGAGGUUAAGUAUCUAUCUGUGUUUUGCAGAAUUUGCAUCUGAGCAUCAAUCCAUGUCAGAGGAGUUAAUAAGAAAGGCAUUUCAUGCAACAGAAGAGAGUUAUACAUCUAUUAUUCGCAAGCAAUGGCCAAUACAAAUUACAACUUGCCGCAGUCGGGUCCUGUUGCUGGGUUGGAGUGAUAUGCAUGGAAAUCUCUAUAUUGCAAAUCUUGGUGACUCAUGUGCUGUGUUAGGCACACUUGUCAAGCCAAGAGGGGAAGUUCUUGCUAUUCAGCUUUCAGCGGAACAUAAUACGUGCAUCGAGUACGAAGACGAGAGUUGCAUUCUGUUCACCCAGAUGAUCGGCAGAUAGUUGUAAUCAUAUGUAGUUCCUGUCUUCAGGUCCCAGAUCUGUCUUUCAAAAGCCGAGAACAACUCAAAAAAUGUAAGACUCUGAACUUGUAAAUAUAUACUUUUCACUAGCCAUUUGGGCUGCCACAAUGAUGUCUAACACCUUGAAGGCCUCAGUUGUGGUGUUUACCGGAACCGGCUCCAUGGCUAUUCUUCUCAGCCACUAUCAUCCUUCUGGAACUAUUUUUGCCUUUGCAAAUGAGUAAGUUUCACAAUUACAUUCUUAAUUUGAGUAUUGCCCUUACCUUCCUUGAUUGCAGGUGCUGAUUGAAGGUACAUGGAGGUUCCAGUCGGGUCCUGUUGCUGGGUUGGAGUGAUAUGCAUGGAAAUCUCUAUAUUGCAAAUCUUGGUGACUCAUGUGCUGUGUUAGGCACACUUGUCAAGCCAAGAGGGGAAGUUCUUGCUAUUCAGCUUUCAGCGGAACAUAAUACGUGCAUCGAGUACGAAGACGAGAGUUGCAUUCUGUUCACCCAGAUGAUCGGCAGAUAGUUGUAAUCAUAUGUAGUUCCUGUCUUCAGGUCCCAGAUCUGUCUUUCAAAAGCCGAGAACAACUCAAAAAAUGUAAGACUCUGAACUUGUAAAUAUAUACUUUUCACUAGCCAUUUGGGCUGCCACAAUGAUGUCUAACACCUUGAAGGCCUCAGUUGUGGUGUUUACCGGAACCGGCUCCAUGGCUAUUCUUCUCAGCCACUAUCAUCCUUCUGGAACUAUUUUUGCCUUUGCAAAUGAGUAAGUUUCACAAUUACAUUCUUAAUUUGAGUAUUGCCCUUACCUUCCUUGAUUGCAGGUGCUGAUUGAAGGUACAUGGAGGUUCCAGUUAGUAUUUAAAGUUGAAAGAAACAGGCACCUGCCCUGUAAAUUUAUCCUGGGUUUCUUUUGACUGGUUUCAGAGGUUAUGGACAAACUGGCAAAGGAGGAUAUUUUAACUAAAUGCGGAACAAAUGCUUACAUUAUUAAUAAGCUGAAGGUUUUUUAUAUAUAACUUAUGUUUCUAUUUAUUUCCUUGUUAGUUUUCCUUUCGUGAUCCUCACUGUCAUGGAAACAACAGUUCCAGAAAUCUGACUAUGAAUUUGAAGCUGUCAAAGAGGAAAAUUAUGGCCAGAUAUUUCGAAAUGGCAGUAAAGUUCAGCCAAACAUGGAUGAGGAUCAUAUGUGCAUGAGAUAAAUGUAGACCAACUAUAUUUGACUUGUAUAUAUUUUCUUUUUUAGGGGCGAAGUGUUUCUCUUCUGCUAACUAAGUACGGGAUCCAGUAACUAAUUAGCUUCUAUUCUUGUUUAUGUAUGUAUCCUCUCUACUGAAAACUCUUACUUCCAAUUUUUUUAAAGCUCCUUUAAGUUCUGGUUAAUGAGUUUUUGCAAGUUUUCAAUUUUACCUACAUAUGUGAGUCAAGAUAGAAAAUAAGUCUGAGAAGAAUGCAUAAAUUAUUUUUAGUUGUAAUCUAAUUUAUAAUUGCAGAUCUCAUAUGUUUUUGUAUAAGCUUUCUUGUAAGACUAUAAAUUUGUUUUAUCAAAUAUUUGUGUGGGAGUUAAUUUAUAGUGAUAAACAUAAUGUGAUGUCACCUAUCCUUUACCUUAUAGAAUAGUAGCGGUGAUCGCGGUGCGGGCGGUGCAGUUUUUCGCUAAAACCGCGAACCAAACCGCAUUGAAAACUCAAACCGAACUGCACCACGCUACAAAAAAACCGUAUAAACCGCAUCACAAAAAUGCGGUGCGGUUUGUAUGAAGAAUAAAUAUUUUUAGUUGAAGUCAUAAAAAAAAUUGAAUAUAUGAUAAUUAAAACCUUUUCUUGUAAUGAAUUCAUAUAAUAUUUAUCAUUUCAGAGCUGCAACAACUACUAAAAUAACACAAACAAAAGUGUAAAUAUAAUAAUAAAUAUAAAUACUAACUACUAAGAGACAUAUUAUUGUAAUAUAUUCAUAUCAUACUAAUUUGGUAUAAUAGUAAUGCAAGAUUGAUAAAAUAAUAAUUAAUUAUUAUUUGAAGAGAUUUAACAAAUAUAUGGAACAUAAUUAUAAAUAAUAUAUAUGUAUAUAAUAUAAUUUUAUUUGAUAAUCAUUAAUAUAUAUAUAUAUAUAUAGGCUCAUGAUCAAAUAGAAACCACUCUUAAAAUAAAAACUAGAAACCAGUUUACCUACCACUAUUUAUAACUACGGGUAUCACUAAUUUAUACUGCACUAAUCACUGUUUUUAUACAGUAUGUAAACAUCGAUUUUUCUUAUCAAAAUUGAGAAAAUCUACUUAUCAAAAUUAUUGAUAAUCGAUUAUAGAUGAUUAAUUUCAUCCGUAUGAAGGUUCUUGGUGGUAGGUUGCCGCAAGAGAAGUUGUAUGAUGAUAGUAAGUAGUCGUUAGUUUUGUAUGUUAUGAUGGAAAGUGUAUGUGACUAUUGGUGAUGAUAGACAAUAGUGGCAAGUCAUAGAAACGUUUGGUAAUGGUGGUAAGAGGUCCAUUAUUACGAUUUGGGUGAAGAUGAUGGUCAUAUACGUUGCAUAUAUGUGUAUAUAUAUAUUUAUAUUCGCGUGAUAUGAUAUAUAUAAAUUAGUGAUAUGUUAUGUACAAAUUAGUGAAUUCUGUAGUUAAAAAUAGUGAUAAAAAACUGUCCAAAAACUGGUUUUUAGUUUUUAGGCUAUUUUGGUUUCUAUUGGAGUAGGACUCUAUAUAUAUAUAUAUAUAUAUGUAUGUAUGUAUGUAUGUAUGUAUGUAUGUAUGUAUGUAUGUAUGUAUGUAUGUAUNNNNNNNNNNNNNNNNNNNNNNNNNNNNNNNNNNNNNNNNNNNNNNNNNNNNNNNNNNNNNNNNNNNNNNNNNNNNNNNNNNNNNNNNNNNNNNNNNNNNNNNNNNNUAUAUAUAUUAUAAUAUUGCGGUGCGGUGCAGUUUGAACCACACUACUAAUAUGUCAAACCGCAACCCGCACCGCACCGCGUGGUUUGUGAAAAAUACAAACCGCAACCGCACCACGAAAAUUAAAAACCGCGUUUUGUGGUGCGGUGCGGGCGGUUUACGCGGUUUGGACGGUUUUUUGAUCACCCCUAUAGAAUAGUAUUGCUCAAUUAUUUUACAAUCACUUGUAGGUAUUUUUAUCACGCUCUUGCAAUGGACUACAUUACUGUUUCCAUGUUUCACAACAAGCUCGAAGUAGAGAAGUAGAAGUCAACCAUACCACUGUGCACAAACUAAUUGAUAAGAUGACAAAAGAAGGGUUUGACGAAGCUCAAAGCAAUAGAAGACUUGGUGUGAAAAUGGAGCAUUAAAAUUACAUUUGGUGCAUGAAUCAGAUUUGUUGAUCGAUAUUUACAUAUUCCUUUUAUUUUUGUAGGCAAGCCGGUGAUCAAUCCUUAUUUAACUGAGAAAAAAUUGCAUGAAGUCGAGAAAAACAAACUUGAACCUUAAUUAGAUGGUGGAAGUUCUGUAGGCACAUUACAACGCAAGUUUCUAUAAUUUUCUUGUGAACAGAUUUUUAAUAUGAAAAUUAUGUUGAUAGGAGCUAAAAGAGCUCUAAAGGAAGAUGAACCACUUAAAACCUCAGACAAUUGUUACAUAAUUGAUCAAAUUAUUUCUCCUCUAACUUGAACAGAAUGAUUCACUACUUUAACUCUUUAGUGAUAACCAGGAAGCAAAGAAAAUUGUCUACUUGUGGCGGAGCUCAAUUAGAUCAGAUCUAACUCGCAUGAUAGCCGAGCCUGAUGCUUAUCAAAACGGAUGUGUCAGGAGUGACCAUACUGUUGUAAGGAUGAAAGAGCAUGGAACCCUCACAAGCAGAGCUCAGGUUUGUCCGGUCAACAACUGCCUUAAAUUUACCAAGUCAGAGAUGUUUUGCUUUUUGAUUUUCUAUGUUCCGUGACCCAAAAACCUGUAAUCUGACCUUUUUUAAUCAAGCAACCAACAGCUUCUAGAGAGAGUUUUGCACAAGUAAUGAAAAUUGUGAAAAUUGCAGGGAGUUUGAUGCAAUCAUGUGUAGCAAGUCGUCAUCUCAGAGCAAGUGGUCACAAAAGCAGGCAAUGCAAGUGCUGUAAGCUUCAUGGUUGUGUUUUUAUAUUUAGUUAAUUGUCAUCGGCCAUUAAAGAGAUCCAAUGUCAUAAGAUUAAUACUCUAUAUACACACACAAAAAGUAUCAUUUUCUGAUUUCAAAGUUGUGCAUGUAUAUCCCCCUUCUGUUAAUUAUAUGUAUAUCCUCACGAUAAGAUUUUUUAGUGCAGAAUAAGAAUGUAACAAUAAAAUGACAUAUUGUUGUUGAGUAUUACAGUAAUGACCAACCAACCUAAUUUCUAGAACGAAAGUAGUCUUAAACGACUCUUUUGUAGAGGCUUAAGUUUUCAUUUUUUUGGUGACAGGUUAAGGAUCCUAUCCUUCAGUGCACUAAACGCCAGAAGACUCAAGUCGCCUAAAAAGAAUCGGACUAUAUGGCCAUAUAAUUUCUGGUGCUUAUUUCUACUUAUCCCUAUUUCAUGAGCCUAAUAGACUUUUCUACUUCAUAUAUCACUUGAAUCAGUUUUCUACCUUUUUUUGUUGAGCCUUUUUUUUUAGUAUACAUUCUCUCUCAUUUCAUUCAACACUUCUUCUAUCAAGCAUGUAUAUCGAGCAUGUAUGUGUCCAUUUAUAAAAAUAAGCGAUUCAUACCAGGUUCGUGCCUUGCAUGCAGGGCCAUUCCAUACCUUUUGAGGGCUCAGGGGCCAAAAAAGAAAAUGGGCCCUAUUUUUUUUUUGCUUCGCUAAAUUUGAUAAAAUAUAACCUUGUAACAAUGCAAACUCAAAUUUUAGUCAACUUCCGUAAGAAAAUAACUAUAAAAUGAUGAAGUUUAGCGAUAAAGUGUACCGGAUGUAAAAAAAAGAAGAUUAAACAAAUAUUUGAUGACAUUUAUCUGUUAGUGCAUGAUUGAUAGUACCAUUAGUUUAGGUACGGACGUAGUCACUUAGGAUAGAAUAGGCUUACAGGACUGAUAUAUACUAAUAACAAUACAUAAAUUAUAAAAAUUUUGGGCCCUUAAAUUUUUUGGGCCCUGGGCGGUCGCCCUGGUUGCCCUCCCUCUGGGCCGGGCCUGCUUGCAUGGGCACUAAUGCUAGUUAAAACUGAUAUAACAAUCCAGUAUCUAUACACACUUAGCAUCUUUUUGCUCCAAAGCUUUGGCCUUCUUUUUCUGUUCUGCAAACCUACCUUCAAGCAUUGAAACCUUUUCUUCUAGUAAUGAAAUAUUUUCUUCCAAAUAAAUCCUUUUGUUAUUCAGUUGGGUUACAAUAUAUGUGCCUUCCUUCAAUCUCAACAUCGAACCAUUCAAACUAAUCACUGGUAAUUUUUUUUCAUAAUUAAAGAAAAAAUUCAUCACUAAUUCAUUGCUUGCAAUUAAUAAAACCAAAAACUUACUUAUGAUUGACAACAUGUAUUAAAUCUUUGUCUAGUGUUUUUCAAAGACCAAGAACGGUAAAUCUUUGCUUUCUGUCAGCAAAUCACAAAUAUUAUUAUGUGCUGAAAGUUGAGAAGAUCUUACUGAGUUCAUUGACCUGGAGCAAACUUGAGGUGAUUUUGCUGAGUUCAUUGACAUGGAGUUUUCAAAUAUCAGCUUUUUCAGAAGAACAUUAAUAUUUUUAAAUUUUUUGGAUAUAAAUGUUAAAGAAAUUUUAUAUUCGUUAUGUGAUUAAGAACAAGGAUUUGUUCAAAAAGUCUUAUUUUUUUAAACAUUAAUAUUUUUAUAAUUUUUUAGAUAUAAAUGUUAAAGAAGUAUUUUAUAUUCGUUAUUUGAUUAAAAACAAAGACUUAUUUUAAUAAAAGUUGAGUUUUAUGUAUUUUUUCCCUAGAAAUAAACUCUUAUUUUUCUGGAAAAUAGAAUUAGCCAAAAAGCACGCUUAGUUUUGGAAGUUUCGUUGUCUUGCAAUAUGACUUAUAGUCGGUUUGUCCUAGCGGACUUAAAACUGUUUCUGGCCUAUUUAUAUAAUAAGUUAAUUAGUUAUUUUUAUUAAACUGUGUAAUUUUUAAAAAUAAAUAUAUAAUUUAAAUUUUAAAAGUGCUUAUCAAAAAAUUGUAGAAGACUGAUUUUUUUUUUCUUCUUGCACACAAACACCACCUAGAUUAAAGAAAAUGGUCUCACCUGGGGUCAAAGUCAUUUUAAAUGCGUUACCAACAAUACAAAUGCAAAAGACAAGCAGCAUUCUCUUUUUUUAAAGAAACAACGGAGGAGCAGAGUUUCUAAAAACAAGGGCAAGUGCAAGAUGAAGACGAUGAUGAGAACGAGGAGGGCUUUCACUACUGGCCUCACUUCAAACACUCUUCUUCCACUCCCAAGACCUAUACUAUAUUCUCUUUUGGAUGGCUUAUUUCGUACGCGUAGGCUUGAUGAAGCACAAAAGUUUUAUAGGAAGAUGUUAAACCAAGGUGUUAAACUGGAUAUAGUGACAUGCAGGAUCUUGUUGCACGGACUUUGCUGGAAUGGACUUGCUGUAGAAGCAAUGUCCGUGUUGCAUGAGAUGGAGUCAUGUGGCUUAAUUCCUGAUAUACGCAUUUAUAAUAUCUUGAUUCAUGGAUUGUUCAAGGACGGCAAGGUUGAUGAGGCCAGAAGCCUUUUUUAUAAUCUUCGUUUGAAGGGUUUACAGCCUAGUGUCAUAUCUUACAACACUAUGAUCCAAGGAUUCUGUCAAGAGGGGUUGCUGGAAGAAGCAUAUAGCAUACUUUUGGAAAUGGAAGAAAACAAUUGCUUGCCUAAUGAAGUUACAUACAACACUCUUAUCUGUGGAUGCUUUAAGAAUAAGAUGUAUGAUGGAGCUUGUGUACUUAUAGAUGAGAUGUGCAUUCAUGGUUUCAAAGCAGAUGCCUCUACCACCUCCAUGCUAUUGGAUGUGCUGCAACCGAAGGAGCAGAACCCCGCCCUCCUUGCUAUGCAGAAGAAGUUCAUGCCUUGAGUACAUCAAUGAUCGAGUUUAUUAAGGUACAAAAUACUUUUAAAUUGCCGGAACUUUGUAAUAGUUUGCUAAAGAAACUUAAAUCAAUAGCAACUGUGAUAUUGGAGUUGAUAAAAUAUUUAAUUUCAUGAAAUAUUUACUUGGGAAAUGGUGGCCGUGUUGUAUUUGCAUCAUUUUACAAAAUGAGAAGUAUGAUAAAGCAUGCAUUUUUUCUUCGACAAAAUGCUAGAAGCUGGGUUCUCAGCGGAUGCAUACCACCAUUAUAGUUGCAUAAAGGUGUCUUGAGUGCAGCAAAUGUGAAGUACAUCAACAUUUCCAUUUAUUUUGUUGAUAUAUUAGUUCUUAGUAUUAUAUAUUCUGUUCUCUAUCUCUUUAUAAUUCUAAUAUCUCUUCUAAAAUACAGGGAAAUAAUCCAAAAUACUAUCCUCUGUUUCUAAAUUUGUUUUCUGUUUCAAAUAAUAAACUUGUUUUCAUUUUUACUAUGUUCACAAAUUUUUAUAUAAAUUGCCUAAAUUCAUUCGGUAAUACUCUAUGCAACUAAUAAGUAUAAACCCAUCUGUAACUAUUGUUUUAAAAUAUAACACCAUUCUGGAGAUGAUGAGAAAGGCUGUCACUAUAUCCUCUGUCUUACUCUUUACACCAUUUCUAAUUUAUUACUCACUUUCUCAUUUCUUCACUACCUGAUCCUAGUCCCAGUAUUAAAUCCCCCUAUAUUCCUUCUUCAUCUAUACCUCAUUUGCAGCUUCAGCCGUUACUUCAUUAAGAAUAUGAGGUUCGUUUUGGUUAACUAUUCUUGUGUGAUUGACUUCAAUCAACUGUUAUCCGCCAUCGUUAAAACAUAAUCGGAAAGUCUCUAUAUGAAGUUACAAUACUACACUCUUAUCCGUGGCUGCUUUAAGAAUAAGAUGUAUGAUGGAGGUUGUGUGCUGAUAGAUGAUAUUUGUGCUUAUGGUUUUAAAGCAGAUGCCACUACCACCUCCAUGCUAUUCGAUUUGCUGCAUUCAAAAGAGCAGGACCCCGCACUCCUUGCUUUGCAGAGAAGUUCAUGCCUUGAGUACAUCAAGGAGAGAGUGUAUUAUGGUACAAAAUACUUUUAAAAUGCCAGGACUUACUAAUAAUUUGUUACAAACUUUGACGUCAAUAGCAAUUGUGAUAUAGGAGUUGAUAAUAUGUAAUUUUGUUGAAUAUCAGCUUUGCAAAUGGUGUCUGGGUUGUAUUUGCAUUAUUUGACAAAAUGAAAAGAAUGAUAAAGCUUGUGUUUUUUCUUCGACCAAAUGCAGGAAGCUGGGUUCUCUGGAGAUGCAUACCACCAGUAUAUUACAUUACAAGACCUGUACGGAACAAAUUACCUGGACCCUUCUACUCUUGCUUUGCGGUGAAAAUUUUGUCAUGGGUACUGCAAUCUCAUGACGCAAACACUCUGCAGCAUUAUUAUUUACUUGCAUUACAUUGUAAGUUUGUCUUUUAUUUCUGGCAGGCUGCUAAGACUUAACUUAAUUACUGUAGGGCUAACAUGUAGUUGCAUAAUGGUGUCUUGAGUGCAGCAAAUGUGAAGUACACCAACAUUUCCAUUCAUUUAUUGAUGUAUUAGUUAUUUGUAUUAUAUAUUCUAUUCGUUGUCUCUUUGCCAUUUCUUCAUUUCUUCACUACCUGAUCCUAAUCCCAGUAUUCAAAGCCCCCUAUAUUCCUUCAUCUAUACCUCAUUUGCAGCUUCAGCAGUUACUUCAUUAGGAAUAUGAGGUUUGUUUUGAUUAACUAUUCUGUAAUUGACUUCAAUCAACUGUUAUCCGCCAUCUUUAAAACAUAACCAUACACUGUUGCUGUUUCUUUUUACUGAUACUUGUAGUUUCUCCAUUCCAGUUGAUCUAUAUACCAUUAAUACCGUCAUUAAUCAUUGUUGUCAAUUGAAUAGAGUUUAUUAUGCUUUUUCAUGAAGCGUCUUCUUUUGCCAAAUGUUGUUACCUACACCAUUCUCUAUAGGGGGUUAUCUCCCAUGACAAACUUCUGGAGGUUGAGCACUGGUUCGAGAAGCUCAGCAUAAUCAGACUAAUUGAACCUGGUAUUGUUCCAUUAUAGAUAGGUUGCAACAACUCUUGCAAGUUUAAUAAAUUCUUCUCAACGUCUUAUUUUUGUUUCGGGACCUUCCACUCUUGCAUUAUUGAUAGGUUGUAACAAGCUUUGUAAGUUGGCAAGUACCAGAGUGCCACCUCAGGAGCUUACAUGAUUUUCAUGGACCAGCAUAUACUUGUGAUUUAAUCGUCACAAUUGUAUCUUUGACUGAUACAUGGGUUGUGUUAGGCUGCUCCUUAGGAGCUUCAAAAAUCAUCCUUUUUUUUUUCCAAAUUUUAAAUAUGUUAUUUAUAAUACAAGAUAUAUGACCUUGUAUUUAUUAUAUACUAGAAUCACCUUUCACAUGUAUCAGAUAAUAGAAUUUGUAAUAAAACUAAAAAUUUAUAGUGACUUACCACGAAACUCCAUAAAAAACUAUAAAUUAUAUUUAUAUUGAAUUAUUAUAUUUUACUAAUUCUAUGAAAUAUGAAUUAUGUUGAAUAUUAAACUAAGGGAGUUGAAGGUGUAUUCGUCGUGAUUUUAAUAGAUUAAUUUAUGAAUGUUAAUAGAUUGUAUGUGAUUUUGGGCGGAUUCUUAAUAAAAUGUCGUUUAACUAGUAUAGUUUUGUUAGGAUUUAAGCACAAUACUUCAAAAUAUUAUAUAUUUUGGUGGAAUUUCAAAAAGUUCAAAAUAUACCGACCAAUACCACAAAUCCAUCAUUUUAUGAAGUUCAAAAAAAUCUAUCAUAUCUGAAUACCAUCACAUUUCAAUGGAUUUUAAAAAAUCCCAAUUGAAUAGCGUUAGAUUUUAUAGCAUAAUUGAAAAUCCGAUUAAAUAUCACCAUAUAUUGUAGUAUGAUAUAAAAUUCCAAUUGAAUACCACGAAUAAAAAUCUUUAAAAAUCCCAAUUAAAUACACCUGCUAAAUAUAAUUUCGCUUAUUUAUAAACACCCUAAAAUAAUAACUAAGAGCAAGUCUGAUAGGUUAACUAUUUCCUUGUAUAAUACUAUAGAAUAGUGAAUCUUAGAUUUAGAAGAUCUACUUUUAUUUAGAAUAUUUAGAAAUUCUUAUUUUUGUUCCCUAUUAUUAUUUUAACAAUAAAUUUUAGGAAAAGAAGGAAGAAAUGAGAGAAAAGAUAAAAAAAAGAAAUACAUUGUUUAUUCAUAAAUAUUAAAUAUAUAAUGAUUAGAGAUUACCUAAAAUAGUUAAUAAUUAGAAAAUUUGGGAAUGCGCUAAUAAUUUAGAUAAUCAGCAUAUAAUAGUGUUCCAUAUGUUUUUUAUAUGUCAUUUUUGACUUGAGCACACACUUUUAGGUUGGUAAACUGGACAUUAAUUAUUAUUAUUUUUAAUUAAUUUUUUUGUGAAAUAAAAUUUGGAUUACAUAAUUUUUCAUAAAAAAGCAUUCAAAAAUAAUAUUUUUAACUCUUUAGUCAAAACAAUUAAAAAAUAUGUAUCACAAGUUAAAACGUCAUAUAUUAAAAAUAGAGGGAGUAUAAUUGGAGGGGGAGAGCAUUAUUAAAGUCGAAUACAGAAAUGAGAAAGUAAACUUGCGAAAAGGGAAAGUAACUGAGAGAGUGAGGAGGAGGAUGAUGUCGAGAAUGAGGAGGGCUUUCACUGCUUGCUUCAGCUCAAACGCUAUUUGUGACAAGGGCUUUCUUGGUUUCCUGAGACACGGUACUCCUGCUCUUACUACUACUAGUUCUUCUUGUCGUGUUAUUACAUUGCUUCGUUUGCAUUCACUCUCUCAAUCCCCCACUUGCCGUAACCCUAAUCACACACCCAAUCAUCUCUCCGAACUUCAACAAUUAUUGUUGGAGAAAUCUAGAGUUGGUUUUGAUGAGCCUGAUGAUGCUCUUCGAGUGUUUGAUAAAAUGCUCCGUAUGAAACCUCUGCCUAGUGUUAUGGACUUUACUCAACUCUUGACCGCCCUUGUCAAGAUGAAACAUUACUCCGUGGCCGUCUCUGUCUUUUCAAAGAUGUGCUAUUUUAGCAUUCCUGUUAAUAUAGUUACUUAUAGUAUUGUAAUCAACUGUUGUUCCCAUUUGAAACGCGUUGAUUAUGGGUUUGCGCUGUUGGCUGCCAUCUUUAAGCGUGGUUUUGUCCCAGAUGUUGUUACCUACACAACUCUAGUUAGGGGGCUCGUUUCCCAGGACAAGUUUCUCGAGGCUGAGCUUAUGUUCAAGAACCUUCUCGAGCACAAUCAAAUUGAGCCUGAUGCAGUUAUCUUUAACACCAUUAUCAAUGGCCUUUGCAAAACAGGCAACACUUCCCAGGCUAUGAGGUUGCUCAGAUACAUGGAGAAGACACGUUGUAUGCCCUGCGUAGUAACUUAUAGCACUGUUAUUAAUAGUUUGUCCAAAGACAGAUUAGUCGAUGAUGCUUUGGGUCUUCUUGCCGAAAUGAGUGACAAAGGCAUUCAACCAGAUGUUGUAACCUAUAGCUCGUUAAUUCAAGGUCUGUGCAACCUUAACCGAUGGGAUGAUAUAACACAAUUGUUAAAAGAUAUGGACAGACACAAAAUUUCUUCAAACAAGCAUACCUACAGUAUAUUGGUUGAUGCACAUGCGAAAGAUGGAAAGGUCAGAGAUGCUGAGUAUCUGAUAGAGUUAAUGAUUCGAAGAGGCCAAAAUCCUAAUGUAGUCACCUACAGUGCACUUAUGGAUGGAUACUGCUUGAGAGGAGAAUUGGAUAAAGCGUUUGCACUGCUCAGAACCAUGAGAAAUGAGGGGAUUUUGCCCAACGCGAAGACCUAUACCAUAUUGAUCAAUGGUUAUUGUAAGAAGAUGAAAGUAGACACAGCAAUACAUCUCUUAAAAGAAAUGACCCUGAAAGGUUUAACACCUACAAUUGAAACGUACAAUACUAUUCUGGAUGGGUUAUUUCGUGCGCGUAGGCUUGAUGAAGCACAAAAGUUUUAUAGGAAGAUGUUAAACCAAGGUGUUAAACUGGAUAUAGUGACAUGCA